ACAGGAGGGACUCAAUGCGCAAAUAUACCAUGUGACGUCAGAGCGCGCGGAUCCUCCCCUUCGGGUCGGGUCACCGCGCGGGUCAGGGCCUGGACGAAACGGCGCCGUUUUGCAUGUCAUUUAAAACAAUGCUUUUUCCUUUUCAAAAUCAUUUGAAACCGAAAUGAAAAAAAAAAAAACACAGCCCCUCUUUUGCUCUGCUAGGGUUUCACCCCUAGCGUCCUCGCGCCGCCUCUCAGGCGAUUCGGCCGGCCCGAAGUCCGGCAUCGGUUCCGACCCCAACUCAGUCCGUGCUUGUAGGUAUUGUGGGAGUAUGGCGCGGGAAAGAGGCUCCGAGACGUGCGCAUGGAGGCCGAAACCUGCGGCGGUUAGGGGCUGUAGGAGCGCAAGGCUGCUUAGGGUUUUAGGUUUUCUUUAGUUGCUGGACUAGGGACCAUUAUUUUGGGCCUGUAAUUAGGUUUUUUUUGGGCCACUGUAUUGGGUUGUUAAUUGGGCCUGUUUUAAGUGGGUUUGCACUAUGUCUUUUUCUGUGUUUGGACCCAGGCCGAUUGGGCCCUAUUACAACAAUAAUUAAAAUAAUUAUAUUGUUUUUUCAACCACAUAA